AAUCUUUCACAAUGGACGACAGUCUGAUGGAGCAACGCCGCGUGAGUGAAGAAGGUUUUCGGAUCGUAAAGCUCUGUUGUGGGGGAAGAACAAGUACAGGAGUCACUGUCUGUACCUUGACGGUACCUCACCAGAAAGCCACGGCUAACUACGUGCAAGCACCCGAGGUAAUACGUACGUGGCAAGCGUUGUCCGGAAUUAUUGGGCGUAAAGCGCGCGCAGGCGGUCCUUUAAGUCUGAUGUGAAAGCCCACGGCUCAACCGUGGAGGGUCAUUGGAAACUGGAGGACUUGAGUACAGAAGAGGAAAGCGGAAUUCCACGUGUAGCGGUGAAAUGCGUAGAGAUGUGGAGGAACACCAGUGGCGAAGGCGGCUUUCUGGUCUGUAACUGACGCUGAGGCGCGAAAGCGUGGGGAGCAAAC
rnacentral:rRNA from 1 species